rnacentral:rRNA from 1 species
UUGGGAAUAUUGGGCAAUGGGCGCAAGCCUGACCCAGCGACACCGCGUGGGGGACGAAGGCCUUCGGGUCGUAAACCCCUGUCAGGAGGGACGAAGUCCGCCGCAAGGCGGGUGACGGUACCUCCAGAGGAAGCCCCGGCUAACUACGUGCCAGCAGCCGCGGUAAGACGUAGGGGGCGAGCGUUGUCCGGAUUUACUGGGCGUAAAGCGCGUGCAGGCGGUCCGUUAAGUCUCGUGUGAAAUCCUCCGGCUCAACCGGAGAACGCCGCGGGAUACUGACGAGCUGGAGGGCGGUAGAGGGUGAUGGAAUUCCCGGUGGAGCGGUGAAAUGCGUAGAUAUCGGGAGGAACGCCAGUGGCGAAGGCGGUCACCUGGGCCGUCCCUGACGCUGAGACGCGAAAGCUGGGGGAGCGAACGGG